AGUGAACGCUGGCGGUAGGCCUAACACAUGCAAGUCGAACGGCAGCACAGUAAGAGCUUGCUCUUACGGGUGGCGAGUGGCGGACGGGUGAGGAAUACAUCGGAAUCUACUUUUUCGUGGGGGAUAACGUAGGGAAACUUACGCUAAUACCGCAUACGACCUACGGGUGUAAGUAGGGGAUCUUCGGACUUUGCGCGAUUGAAUGAGCCGAUGUCGGAUUCGCUAGUUGGCGGGGUAAAGGCCCACCAAGGCGACGCUCCGUAGCUGGUCUGAGAGGAUGAUCAGCCAAACUGGAACUGGGACACGGUCCAGACUCCUACGAGAGGCAGCAGUGGGGAAUAUUGGACAAUGGGCGCAAGCCUGAUCCAGCCAUACCGCGUGGGUGAAGAAGGCCUUCGGGUUGUAAAGCCCUUUUGUUGGGAAAGAAAAUCAGCAUGUUAAUACCCCGCUGUUCUGACGGUACCCAAAGAAUAAGCACCGGCUAACUUCGUG
rnacentral:rRNA from 1 species